rnacentral:rRNA from 1 species
CCUACGGGGAGUAGCAGUAGGGAAUUUUCGUCAAUGGGCGCAAGCCUGAACGAGCAAUGCCGCGUGAACGAGGAAGGUCUUCGGAUCGUAAAGUUCUGUUGAAGGGGAAAAAGAGCGGAGAGAGGAAAUGGUCUCCGAUUGAUAUUACCCUUCGAGGAAGUCACGGCUAACUACGUGCCAGCAGCCGCGGUAAUACGUAGGUGGCGAGCGUUAUCCGGAAUGAUUGGGCGUAAAGGGUGCGUAGGCGGCCUGCUAAGUCUGGAGUGAAAGGUACCGGCUCAACCGGUACAGGCUCUGGAAACUGGCGGGCUAGAGAGCAGGAGAGGGCGGUGGAACUCCAUGUGUAGCGGUAAAAUGCGUAGAUAUAUGGAAGAACACCAGUGGCGAAGGCGGCCGCCUGGCCUGUUACUGACGCUGAGGCACGAAAGCGUGGGGAGCAAAUAGGAUUAGAUACCCCAGUAGUC